AUUGAACGCUGGCGGCAUGCCUUACACAUGCAAGUCGAACGGUAACGGGCCUUCGGGUGCCGACGAGUGGCGAACGGGUGAGUAAUGUAUCGGAACGUACCUUUCAGUGGGGGAUAACGUAGCGAAAGUUACGCUAAUACCGCAUAUUCUGUGAGCAGGAAAGCAGGGGAUCGCAAGACCUUGCGCUGAUUGAGCGGCCGAUAUCAGAUUAGCUAGUUGGUGAGGUAAAGGCUCACCAAGGCGACGAUCUGUAGCGGGUCUGAGAGGAUGAUCCGCCACACUGGAACUGAGACACGGUCCAGACUCCUACGGGAGGCAGCAGUGGGGAAUUUUGGACAAUGGGGGCGGAACCCUACGAUCCACGCCAUGCGCCGUGAGUGAAGAAAGGACC
rnacentral:rRNA from 1 species